rnacentral:rRNA from 1 species
AUACGUAGGGAGCGAGCGUUGUCCGGAUUUACUGGGUGUAAAGGGUGCGUAGGCGGCUCUGCAAGUCAGGUGUGAAACCCAUCGGCUUAACUGAUGGACUGCAUUUGAAACUGUGGGGCUUGAGUGGAGUAGAGGCAGACGGAAUUCCCGGUGUAGCGGUGAAAUGCGUAGAGAUCGGGAAGAACACCAGUGGCGAAGGCGGUUUGCUGGGCUCUAACUGACGCUGAGGCACGAAAGCAUGGUAGCAAACAGGAUUAGAUACCCUGGUAGUCCAUGCCGUAAACGAUGAUUACUAGGUGUGGGGGGUCUGACCCUCUCCGUGCCGGAGUUAACACAAUUAGUAAUCCACCUGGGAAGUACGACCGCAAGGUUGAA